rnacentral:rRNA from 1 species
GCGCCUUGCCAGCCCGCUCAGAAACUUAAAGGAAUUGACGGGGGCCCGCACAAGCGGUGGAGCAUGUGGUUUAAUUCGAUGAUACGCGAGGAACCUUACCUGGGCUCGAACGUAAGAUGACUGUAGGUGAAAGCUUACAUCUCUUCGGAGCAUUUUUACGAGGUGCUGCAUGGUUGUCGUCAGCUCGUGCCGUGAGGUGUCGGGUUAAGUCCCAUAACGAGCGCAACCCCUACCUUUAGUUGCCAUCAGGUUAAGCUGGGGACUCUAAAGGAACUGCCUACGCAAGUAGUGAGGAAGGCGGGGAUGACGUCAAAUCAGCACGGCCCUUACGUCCAGGGCUACACACGUGCUACAAUGGCCGGUACAGAGCGCAGCGAGGCCGCGAGGCGGAGCGAAUCGCUUAAAGCCGGUCCCAGUACGGAUUGGAGUCUGCAACCCGACUCCAUGAAGUUGGAAUCGCUAGUAAUCGCGCAUCAGCAUGGCGCGGUGAAUACGUUCCCGGGCCUU